GCUCCAGCUCUCCUUCCCAGUGUCCCCGUGCUGCCAGGGACACUGCUGGGAGCUCCAGCCCUCCUUCCCUGGGAUUGUCCCUGUGCUGCCUGCGGAGUCCCCAGUGGAGCUGUCAAGGCUCUGCAGCGCUUCCUUGGGAACAGUUCCCGAUCCAGCCCCAGAUCAGGAUCCACCCUGUGAUUUACACCCCCAUUCUUUCCACUGCUGAUGUAUCUCUUCGAUUCUUGGCUCUAGGAAAGCUUCUGCAUCACCAGAGGUGGGGACACUGGCAGAGGGCACAUUUCCUCCCUGGUGUCACAUCCAAAGUGACACCGUGGUGGGGAGAGUUGGUGAGCUCCACGUGAACUGAGGGAGCACCAGUGUGCUGAGGAGCGGCUGAGGGAGCUGGGAAGGGGCUGGAGACUUCCUGAGGGAGCUGGGAAAGAGCUGGAGAGUUCCUGAGGGAGCUGGGAAGGAGCUGGAGAAUUCCUGAGGGAGCUGGGAAGGGGCUGAGCCUGGAGCAAAGGAGGCUCAGGGGGGACCUUGUGGCUCUGCACAGCUCCUGCCAGGAGGGGACAGCCGGGGGGUCGGGCUGGGAACAGGGAACAGGGACAGGAGGAGAGGGAAUGGCCUCGGGGGAGCCUCGGGGUGGGCACUGGGAAAAUUCCUCAUGGGAAGGGCAGGGGUGGAGUCCCCAUCCCCAGAGGGAUUUCAAAGCCUUGUGGAUGUGGCACUUGGGGACACAGUGAGUGGUGGCAGGGCUGGGGAAUGCUUGGACUCCGUGUUCCUAAAGGUCUUUUCCAACCUUAAUGACUCUGAGCUUUCACCAGGCUCUCCUCGCUCCGCCUGUGUCGUUCCAGUCCCGGAGCCUCAUUCCGGGGACUUCUUUUAUCCCCUUUCAUUCCAUUAAGUGACAGUGGAGCUGUCCCUGCCCUUGGCAGGCAGGUUGGAGCCAGAUGAUCGUUGGGGUCCCUUCCAAGCCCUCCCAUUCCACGACUGCACGUUAUUGAAACCAGCAGCGUUCCACCUGCACAAGCAGCGCUGAGGGAGGCCCGGGUGUGCUCACACAACUGGAGAGUUUGAUUUCUGUCUCCGAAGGUGAAACAACACAAGCAAAGGCAGGUGGUGUCACAAUCACACCUCGGCGGCGUCACAGUCCGGGAUUCCUGCUCUCCAUCCUGCUGUGGCAUUCCCGUGCAAGGACAGCACCUGAUAAGGUGUGGUGGGAACGGGACAUUCCGGCGCUGUUUUCCCAAAAAAAACUGAUAACAGGAACAACCAGCUGCAGCCAGGAGACCUUGGCACCCAGGGGCGUUCCUGCAGGACAUCCUGCCGCUGUUUCUGGAGGAAGAUCCGCCGUGUCCUUGGCUCCCGCAGCUCACGGGGAUGCACCGCAGCCGGCAGGAGCCAGCUGAAGGGCGGAGCGGUGUCUGCGGGAAGGAGCUUCCCUCUGCCGGGGAAGAGGUGUGCUCAUGUCCUGGCAAACAAUUCCGGGGGGACACCAUGGCUGGGAGCGGCUUUGAGAUGGGGCUUAAUGUCCCUAGCGACCUUGGGCAGCAGAGUCCGGACAUGCUGGCUCCUGAAACAGACGGGGCUGCGCGAACGUUGGGGUAAAAUGCCAGGUUCGAGGGGGGAUAGGGAGCAGGCGGCUGGGGAAGGCUGCACCUUCCUCAGCAACGGGGAAAGGAAGAGUUUGGGAUAAAAGGGAGCCCGGCCGUGCCCCCCGAAACCUCGAGAGAGAAAACCCCGCGGGCUGUGCCUGGUGACCUCUCCCUUUAUCCGAAUAAAGCUGCGGGACUCCUCUGUCUCCUUUAUGGA